UACGUAGGGUGCGAGCGUUGUCCGGAUUUACUGGGCGUAAAGGAUGCGUAGGCGGACAUUUAAGUCAGAUGUGAAAUACCCGAGCUUAACUUGGGUGCUGCAUUUGAAACUGGGUGUCUAGAGUGCAGGAGAGGUAAGUGGAAUUCCUAGUGUAGCGGUGAAAUGCGUAGAGAUUAGGAAGAACACCAGUGGCGAAGGCGACUUACUGGACUGUAACUGACGCUGAGGCAUGAAAGCGUGGGGAGCAAACAGG
rnacentral:rRNA from 1 species